GGUUCCUCAAGUCUCCGAUCUUACCAAUACUCUUUGAAGCCUCCUUUCUUGUAUCCAACCUCCGGUCUUGCCAGCCACCGAGCCUGUCAACCGAGUCUUAGUGUUAUCACUUGAUAUCUAAGUUGCUCUCCUCUUACUGCUGUACGGGCAAGUGAAGGAAUUAGAGAUUCGCUCAGCAGAAGUAACUUCCCCACGUAAUGUUGUUCAUCAGCAAGCCAAAGACUAGCUCGGUCUGGGAGAAGUCGCCACAAAAUCUUCUUCGAGCCUUUUUCUGAGCUCCUUAGAUUUGAAUCCUAGGCUGAUAUCAGCAAUUGAAACGUGGAAAUUCACCGGCUUCUCAGGUAAAUUUUUGAUUUCUUACACUCAAAAGGUAUUCUUAAUUAGGUUUCUCAAAGUAGGAAUCUUUUCGUAGAUUAAAUUAUAUUGUUCAUUUUCGUCUCAAUGAUUGCUCAGGAUUUGUUUUAUUUUCUUGUUAAUUUUGUAUUAGUGAGUAAUGUGGUGUUAGAAUUCAAUAAUUUUUGCUUAAACUACAAAAUGAAAAAGAUUGGAGAAGCAAUUUGUUCUUAAUAUCACACUUUGCUCUGUCGCAUUAUAGCAUCUGGCUUAAUAUCAUAAUAUAAUUUUUAACUGUGUGCUCAUUGUACAUAUGUGUUUGGAAGAAAGGAAUAUGAAGUUGAUUUCGGGAAUCAACUAGCUUUGUGAAAGAAAUUGGUAAGAAACUUUACUUAUCACUCAGUUCACCAUUUUUAGUGAUUUUGAUUAAUGUAUUUGAUCUUUCACAAUUAUAGAAUUGGUAAUUUAGUGUCAUUUAGAUUUAGGUUCUACUGUCUAUGGUUCAAGUGGGCGAUAGAUGCCGGCUUUUAAUGGUUUAAAAUUGCUUUACUUUUGCUGCUGUGAAUAUAGCUAAGAUCUGAUGACUAUGUUAAGGACAUGCUCAUUUGAUAUUCAGUCCGGUAAUGAUAGGAUUAAUAGCCUUAGUCAUAAACUGAGUAAGCAAGCAAUGCAUUUACAUUUUGACGAGGAAUUCUUUGAUCCUCAGUGUUUUCGUACACUUUUGUGAAGAAAAACUUGAAUCCUUACUCAUACAGUGUAAUUUCUCUAUUAGUAGAAAUAAAAACUUCUAUCGUUUCAAGAAAAAAAAAA